rnacentral:lncRNA from 1 species
UGUAUAUUAUACUGGUCAAUAUAUUAUUUGUAUUAAAGAUAGUUAUAUACAGAAACCUGUUAAGACUGAACCUCUUCAGGACCAAACAUUUUGUCUGGUAUAGGUAGUUGUUCCAUUUACAUAGGUUAAAGAACAUCCUGAAAUAAAAAUUCAGUUUUUUUUAAUCCAGGGUUCAGUUUAAACAGGUUUCACUGUAGUCAUAUGAAUAAUGUGGUAGUUAUAUAUAAAGUUAUAGGCAGGUGCCUGUUAUAAAAAUGUCAUGGAGAUAACAAUUGUCGUAGGGAUUUUCAGUUUGAUCUUGUUGAUAUUAUUGAUUCAAACAUAUUUAGUAAACCAAUCAAACAACAUUGUCCUUUCAGAUUAACAGUGGUAAAUGUUAUCUUGUAUCCCUUAAUUAUUUUGUCCAUAGAACUAGAAUUAAUAUAGUUAUUUCUCAAAGUCUAAUUCCAUAAAAUUUACCAAAGUCCUUUUUUCCCAAAGGGAUCACUAUUUUUGAAUAAUAGCUUUUAAAAUGACUGUUGGCAGUAGAAAACAGUUACCUGCAACAUACCACUUACAAGUUCUCAGUACAUAUGAGUCACACCUGUUGACCCAUGGUCAGUCUGUGUAAAUGAAGACAUUGAAUAAUCACCAUUUUUCUGUGAAGUAAUAACAUAUGUAUUUUGAUAUAGGAAAUGUAUUUGAAAACGCAUGAAUACAUUGUCUUCUAUUUUUUUUUUUAGAAAAUGUUUGAUUAUGAGUAUCUACUACAAUUCAAUUACAUUUUCAAAUAGAACACCAA